UGGGGAAUAUUGCGCAAUGGGCGAAAGCCUGACGCAGCGACGCCGCGUGAGGGAUGAAGGUUUUCGGAUCGUAAACCUCUGUCAGAAGGGAAGAAAUUAUAUCAUGCUAAUCAGUGGUGUAUUGACGGUACCUUCAAAGGAAGCACCGGCUAACUCCGUGCCAGCAGCCGCGGUAAUACGGAGGGUGCGAGCGUUAAUCGGAAUUACUGGGCGUAAAGCGCACGUAGGCUGUAUGACAAGUCAAGGGUGAAAUGCCACGGCUCAACCGUGGAACUGCCUUUGAAACUGUCAAACUGGAGUAUGUGAGAGGGCGGCGGAAUUCCUGGUGUAGGAGUGAAAUCCGUAGAUAUCAGGAGGAACAUCAGUGGCGAAGGCGGCCGCCUGGCACAAAACUGACGCUGAGGUGCGAAAGCGUGGGUAGCAAACAGGAUUAGAUACC
rnacentral:rRNA from 1 species